CACACUAUCAUUAACUGAAUCCAUAGGUUAAUGAGGCGAACCGGGGGAACUGAAACAUCUAAGUACCCCGAGGAAAAGAAAUCAACCGAGAUUCCCCCAGUAGCGGCGAGCGAACGGGGAGGAGCCCAGAGCCUGAAUCAGUGUGUGUGUUAGUGGAAGCGUCUGGAAAGGCGUGCGAUACAGGGUGACAGCCCCGUACACAAAAAUGCACAUAUUGUGAGCUCGAUGAGUAGGGCGGGACACGUGGUAUCCUGUCUGAAUAUGGGGGGACCAUCCUCCAAGGCUAAAUACUCCUGACUGACCGAUAGUGAACCAGUACCGUGAGGGAAAGGCGAAAAGAACCCCGGCGAGGGGAGUGAAAAAGAACCUGAAACCGUGUACGUACAAGCAGUGGGAGCCUCUUAAUGGGGUGACUGCGUACCUUUUGUAUAAUGGGUCAGCGACUUAUAUUCUGUAGCAAGGUUAACCGAAUAGGGGAGCCGAAGGGAAACCGAGUCUUAACUGGGCGUUAAGUUGCAGGGUAUAGACCCGAAACCCGGUGAUCUAGCCAUGGGCAGGUUGAAGGUUGGGUAACACUAACUGGAGGACCGAACCGACUAAUGUUGAAAAAUUAGCGGAUGACUUGUGGCUGGGGGUGAAAGGCCAAUCAAACCGGGAGAUAGCUGGUUCUCCCCGAAAGCUAUUUAGGUAGCGCCUCGUGAAUUCAUCUCCGGGGGUAGAGCACUGUUUCGGCAAGGGGGUCAUCCCGACUUACCAACCCGAUGCAAACUGCGAAUACCGGAGAAUGUUAUCACGGGAGACACACGGCGGGUGCUAACGUCCGUCGUGAAGAGGGAAACAACCCAGACCGCCAGCUAAGGUCCCAAAGUCAUGGUUAAGUGGGAAACGAUGUGGGAAGGCCCAGACAGCCAGGAUGUUGGCUUAGAAGCAGCCAUCAUUUAAAGAAAGCGUAAUAGCUCACUGGUCGAGUCGGCCUGCGCGGAAGAUGUAACGGGGCUAAACCAUGCACCGAAGCUGCGGCAGCGACACUAUGUGUUGUUGGGUAGGGGAGCGUUCUGUAAGCCUGUGAAGGUGGCCUGUGAGGGUUGCUGGAGGUAUCAGAAGUGCGAAUGCUGACAUAAGUAACGAUAAAGCGGGUGAAAAGCCCGCUCGCCGGAAGACCAAGGGUUCCUGUCCAACGUUAAUCGGGGCAGGGUGAGUCGACCCCUAAGGCGAGGCCGAAAGGCGUAGUCGAUGGGAAACAGGUUAAUAUUCCUGUACUUGGUGUUACUGCGAAGGGGGGACGGAGAAGGCUAUGUUGGCCGGGCGACGGUUGUCCCGGUUUAAGCGUGUAGGCUGGUUUUCCAGGCAAAUCCGGAAAACCAAGGCUGAGGCGUGAUGACGAGGCACUACGGUGCUGAAGCGACAAAUGCCCUGCUUCCAGGAAAAGCCUCUAAGCAUCAGGUAACAUCAAAUCGUACCC
rnacentral:rRNA from 1 species